AUGGCUGUCGUCAGCUCGUGUCGUGAGAUGUUGGGUUAAGUCCCGCAACGAGCGCAACCCUUGUCUCAUGUUGCCAGCACGUAAUGGUGGGGACUCGUGAGAGACUGCCGGGGUCAACUCGGAGGAAGGUGGGGAUGACGUCAAGUCAUCAUGCCCCUUAUGUCCAGGGCUUCACACAUGCUACAAUGGCCGGUACAAAGGGCUGCGAUGCCGCGAGGUUAAGCGAAUCCUUAAAAGCCGGUCUCAGUUCGGAUCGGGGUCUGCAACUCGACCCCGUGAAGUCGGAGUCGCUAGUAAUCGCAGAUCAGCAACGCUGCGGUGAAUACGUUCCCGGGCCUUGUACACACCGCCCGUCACGUCAUGAAAGUCGGUAACACCCGAAGCCAGUGGCCUAACCCUCGGGAGGGAGCUGUCGAAGGUGGGAUCGGCGAUUGGGACUAAGUCGUAACAAGGUAGCCGUACCGGAAGGUGCGGCUGGAUCACCUCCUUUCU
rnacentral:rRNA from 1 species